rnacentral:rRNA from 1 species
UAACCUGGUUGAUCUUGCCAGUAGUCAUAUGCUUGUCUUAAAGAUUAAGCCAUGCAAGUGAAAGUACACAUGUAUAAUAAUAUAUCGAAACUGCGAACGGCUCAUUAAAACAGUUAUAAUCUACUUGACAUUUAUAUUAUAAGGAUAACUACGGAAAAGCUGUAGCUAAUACUUGUAAAAAUAUCUUAUGAUAUGUAUAUAUAUAUAUGUAUGUAUCAUUAAGAUAUGUAUUUGUUAGAUAUAAGAAGUAAAUAAAUAUAAAUUGAAUUAUAACAAAGAAAGAACACGUAUACGUACGUGAUUAUCAAUCGAGUAUCUGACCUAUCAGCUUUUGAUGUUAGGGUAUUGACCUAACAUGGCUAUGACGGGUAACGGGGAAUUAGAGUUCGAUUCCGGAGAGGGAGCCUGAGAAAUAGCUACCACAUCUAAGGAAGGCAGCAGGCGCGUAAAUUACCCAAUUCUGAAGAAGAGAGGUAGUGACAAGAAAUAACAAUACAUUAUCGAAGAAUGAUUUUGUAAUUGGAAUGAUAGGGAAUUAUAACAUUUCUAGAGAAACAAUUGGAGGGCAAGUCUGGUGCCAGCAGCCGCGGUAAUUCCAGCUCCAAUAGCAUAUAUUAAAAUUGUUGCAGUUAAAACGUUCGUAGUUGAAUAUUAAAGAAUCCGAUGUUUCAUUUAAACUGGUUUUGGGAAACUACAUAUAUAUAUAUAUAUUUAUAUAUAUUGUUUAAUAAGUUUCCCGUAUAAAAUUAUGUUUUUAUCAGAUAUGACAGAGUCUUUUUUAAAAUCUGUUCAUUUUGCUUUUAUUGCUUUUUGAGAGAUUUUGUUACUUUGAGUAAAAUUAAGUGUUCAUAACAGACGGCUAUACUUUGAUUGAGGUGUUCAGGGUGUUUGAAUACUACAGCAUGGAAUAACAAAUAUGAAUAAGCUAAUUUAAUUUUUUAUUAUUUUUUUUGAUAUUCUUAUUAGCUUAGUUACGGUUAAUAGGAGUAGUUUUGGGGGCAUUCGUAUUCAGAUGUCAGAGGUGAAAUUCUAAGAUUUUCUGGAGACGGACUACUGCGAAAGCAUUUGCCUAAUCUAUUUCCAUUAAUCAAGAACGAAAGUUAAGGGAGUGAAGACGAUCAGAUACCGUCGUAAUCUUAACCAUAAACUAUACCGACUAGGUGUUGGAUGAAUAUAAAAAAUAUAUAUAAAAUUUUGAUAUUUCUUAGGGAUUAUUGAUUUUAUAUAUUAGAUUGCUUCCUUCAGUACCUUAUGAGAAAUCAAAGUCUUUGGGUUCUGGGGCGAGUAUUCGCGCAAGCGAGAAAGUUAAAAGAAUUGACGGAAGGGCACCACCAGGCGUGGAGCUUGCGGCUUAAUUUGACUCAACACGGGAAAACUCACUAGUUUAAGACAAGAGUAGGAUUGACAGAUUAAUAGCUCUUUCUUGAUUUCUUGGAUGGUGAUGCAUGGCCGUUUUUAGUUCGUGAAUAUGAUUUGUCUGGUUAAUUCCGAUAACGAACGAGAUCUUAACCUGCUAAUUAGCGGUAAGUACACCAUAUUCUUAUUUGAAAUUGUAUUUAGGUAAUUAUACAUUUAUUCAGUGUUCAAAUUAGGAUAUUUUUAUUAAAAUAUCCUUUUCCCUGUUCUACUAAUAAUUUGUUUUUUACUCUAUUUCUUUCUUCUUUUAAGAAUGUACUUGCUUGAUUGUAAAGCUUCUUAGAGGAACAUUGUGUGUCUAACACAAGGAAGUUUAAGGCAACAACAGGUCUGUGAUGUCCUUAGAUAAACUAGGCUGCACGCGUGCUACAAUGAUAUAUAUAACAAGUUGUUAAAAAUAUACAUAUAUAUAUUUGUAUCUUGUGAUAUUUAGUAAAUAAUUUUGUAUAUUUUUUCCUUUACUGAAAAGUAUAGGUAAUCCAAUCAAUUUAUAUCGUAACUGGGAUAGAUUAUUGCAAUUAUUAAUCUUGAACGAGGAAUGCCUAGUAAGCAUGAUUCAUUAGAUUGUGCUGACUACGUCCCUGCCCUUUGUACACACCGCCCGUCGCUCCUACCGAUUGAAAGAUAUGAUGAAUUGUUUGGAUAUGAAUUAAAACAUGGAAUUUUAUAUUUCUGAUUUUUUCUAGAAGAACUGUAAAUCCUGUCUUUUAAAGGAAGGAGAAGUCGUAACAAGGUUUCCGUAGGUGAACCUGCGGAAGGAUCAUUA